AGAGUUUGAUCCUGGCUCAGGAUGAACGCUAGCGGGAGGCUUAACACAUGCAAGUCGAGGGGCAGCACGAGGUAGCAAUACUUUGGUGGCGACCGGCGCACGGGUGAGUAACGCGUAUGUAACCUACCCUGUACAGGGGGAUAGCCCGGAGAAAUUCGGAUUAAUACCCCAUAAAGAUAUUUUGAGGCAUCUUAAGAUAUUUAAAGUUUCGGCGGUACGGGAUGGGCAUGCGUAACAUUAGCUAGUUGGUAAGGUAACGGCUUACCAAGGCGACGAUGUUUAGGGGUCCUGAGAGGGUGAUCCCCCACACUGGUACUGAGACACGGACCAGACCCCUACGGGAGGCAGCAGUGAGGAAUAUUGGUCAAUGGGCGUAAGCCUGAACCAGCCAUCCCGCGUGCAGGAAGACGGCGCUAUGCGUUGUAAACUGCUUUUCCAGGGAAAGAAAACCCCCGACGUGUCGGGGCUUGCCGGUACCCUGGGAAUAAGCAUCGGCUAACUCCGUGCCAGCAGCCGCGGUAAUACGGAGGAUGCGAGCGUUAUCCGGAUUUAUUGGGUUUAAAGGGUGCGUAGGCGGAUUACUAAGUCAGUGGUGAAAACCUUCAGCUUAACUGGAGACUUGCCAUUGAUACUGUUAGUCUUGAGUACGGUCAAGGUAGGCGGAAUGUGUAAUGUAGCGGUGAAAUGCUUAGAUAUUACACAGAACACCGAGAAGCAGCUUACUGGGCCAUUACUGACGCUAUGCACGAAAGCGUGGGGAGCGAACAGGAUUAGAUACCCUGGUAGUCAGGGCGAACACAACUGGCGCCUUACUAGUGGCCA
rnacentral:rRNA from 1 species